rnacentral:rRNA from 1 species
AGAGUUUGAUCAUGGCUCAGAACGAACGCUGGCGGCAGGCCUAACACAUGCAAGUCGAACGCCCUAGCAAUAGGGAGUGGCGCACGGGUGCGUAACGCGUGGGAAUAUGCCCUUCACUGCGGAAUAACGUUUGGAAACGAACGCUAAUACCGCAUAAUGACUCCGGUCCAAAGAUUUAUCGGUGAAGGAUUAGCCCGCGUUAGAUUAGCUAGUUGGUGAGGUAAUGGCUCACCAAGGCGACGAUCUAUGGCUGGUCUGAGAGGAUGAUCAGCCACACUGGGACUGAGACACGGCCCAGACUCCUACGGGAGGCAGCAGUGAGGAAUAUUGGACAAUGGGCGCAAGCCUGAUCCAGCCAUGCCGCGUGAGUGAAGAAGGCCUUCGGGUUGUAAAGCUCUUUCAGAUGUGAAGAUAAUGACGGUAGCAUCAGAAGAAGCCCCGGCUAAAUUCGUG